AUCAAAGUUCGACUCAUCAUAUACUAUCUUGGAGAAACUAAGCGCCAUCGUCUUUUCAUCCUUUCCCUCCAAAGGUUUCACACUCAGUUUACGUUUUCCCCAAAUUCCCAAAUCCAAAACUAAGCGCCACAUUCAUUUUCGUUUUGGUGAGUUUAGGAUUCGUCUCCCAAAUCGGUUUCAUUUCACCUAGGAUCGAUCAAUCUCGUCAUCAAACCUAGGGAUUCCGCGAGCAAAGAGCCAUUUCAAAUCAGCUAAGAGAUGAGAGGGGAUCGUGUGUGGUGGUCCGCAAGUCGUUUGGUUGUGAUUUCCUAGGUGAGGAAGGCAGUAAUAGGGGGAGAAAAACAGCAGAAGAAGAACGAAGCAGCGGAUGGAAAGAUUCGCAAGGCUGGUGUUGGGUAAUAUUGAGAAUUUGGCCACUGUAAGAGGAGUUGUUAAAGUCAAGCCUCAUGGUCCCAUCACUAGGUAGAACCUGCUCAAGCUUUGAACAUUCCUGCUAUUCCAGUUGGGCCAUUAUUGGCCACUGUUUAUACCCUUGCAAGCUACCCUCCGUAUGUUUUAUCUUGGCUAAAUUCUCAGAUUUCAGCUUAAGAUAUGAUGGAUCAGAUACUGUUUGAAAAGCUUGUUUUGAACAACUUCGGUUCUUGAAUUUAUUCGAAUUUAACAAUUAUCUAGGCACUGAACAAGAUAGAAGCAGAGGGGCAAUAAAAGCAGAGGGCCAAAAGAGUUGGUCCACAUGUUUGAGUUGUUGAUGAAGAUUGUAUUAGAUGGGCUAGUACACAAUUCUGAUGAAGAGUUUGUCUCAGCAGCUAUGAAGCAUUGUACCUUCAUAUCUCAGCUUGCUGCUUCUAAUAAAGCUUGGUGCUCAUACAGUUUUCAACAUCAUGUGUUUUCGUUUUUUAGAUUUACAUUGUAAUUGAUAAUACUUUAUAAAAUCAUCAA